GACGAACGCUGGCGGCGUGCCUAACACAUGCAAGUCGAACGGGGUUACGAGAGCUUGCUCUUGUAACUUAGUGGCGAACGGGUGAGUAACGCGUGAGAAACCUGCCUCUCAGUGGGGGACAACAGUUGGAAACGACUGCUAAUACCGCAUAACACUUUAGUACCGCAUGGUACAGAAGUCAAAGCUUUAUGUGCUGGAAGAUGGCCUCGCGUCUGAUUAGCUAGUUGGUGGGGUAACGGCCUACCAAGGCGACGAUCAGUAGCCGGUCUGAGAGGAUGAACGGCCACAUUGGGACUGAGACACGGCCCAAACUCCUACGGAGGCAGCAGUGGGGAAUCUUCCGCAAUGGGCGCAAGCCUGACGGAGCAACGCCGCGUGAGUGAAGAAGGUUUCGGGUGUAAACUUCUUUGUCAGGGACGAAGCAAUGACGGUACCUGACGAAUAAGCCACGGCUAACUACGUG
rnacentral:rRNA from 1 species